rnacentral:rRNA from 1 species
GUUCCAGCAGCCGCGGUAAUACAGAGGUCCCAAGCGUUGUUCGGAUUCACUGGGCGUAAAGGGUGCGUAGGCGGUCAUUUAAGUCUGACGUGAAAUCUCCGGGCCUAACCCGGAAACUGCGUUGGAAACUAUCUGACUAGAGGAAUGGAGGGGAGACUGGAAUACUUGGUGUAGCAGUGAAAUGCGUAGAUAUCAAGAGGAACACCUGAGGUGAAGACGGGUUGCUGGGCCGACACUGACGCUGACAGCGCGAAAGCCAGGGGAGCAAACGGGAUUAGAUACCCUCGUAGUCC